rnacentral:lncRNA from 1 species
GUCCCAACCAGUGGGACUCUUGACCCCGGUACCCAUGAUGUGUGGAACUCAUGAUCAGAGAAUCCUGAUUCUCGAUCACUGAGUCCCAAACAUGUAGGAUUCCACAUCAGCCAUCAGAUCAGAUAGGAACCUCUAAUGUGUGUGACCCCGCAGGUUCAAACCUAAGCCGGUAGCACAGGAACCAAUUCCUGUACUAAUC